AUCAUAAUCUUUUUGGCUCCUCAGGGCUGAUGAUUGACAAUGCCCAAAGACCAUUUAAUUUCUUGGAUUACACAGAUAACAUUGCAAAGUUAGUCCUAAGAUUGAGUUUAUAGAGCUAUUGAGACUUUUUUAUGUUCCAGGGCCUGCUAAGAACUUACCUGCAUUUUUCUCAUCAAAUCCUGAUAUCAGCUUUAUGAGGUAGCUUUUUAAAAAAGUUAUGAAAUAUCCUGAGAAUCCACAGUGCCUGCAAGUGGAAGCUCUGUGCCACUCCAUAUCCUUUGCCAUGAACUCCGCAUCUAGGCCCCUCAUUCCCACAGCCAGGGAAUUUCUGCUUUUUCUGUGUCAGUGUGCUAUGUCCCAAUGGGCCCAUCAUUUUGCACUUUGGUGCACAGGAUGGAGAAGGUGGUAGUUGCACAUGGUGUUAAAGAAUUUCUCAAAAGAUGAGGGGAUGAAGGAUUGCAUGGGAAGACAGAGGUGCUUAGCUUAUACUUAGCUUCUCCAAGAGAAGGCACUGAUUAAUGGAAGUUAGACUCAGGAACAUUGUCUUUUUAUUGUUGCUGUAUGUAUUUCUGUAAUAGAGAAGAAGAACUGAGAAUUAACUUUACAUAUAUUAGGAAAAUCUGUCAACAAAAACAUUAAUAUUGCAACUUGAGAAAAGGAGAAAAGAGAAACUAGAAAUUGUCUGCAUAUAUGUAGUAAUAAUCUAUCAACAAAGUGUAUUGAGUGCUGACCCUACACCGCUGUUUGCCCUUCCAGAUCCUUUUUUCACCUUUCUCCGUCCUACUGUCUGCCCCAGAAAGACAACUUUGCCCUCUGGCUUUUAUUAUGUUUGCCAGUGGAGACCCCAUAAGAAAUUUGUAGAAGGGAGAAGAGUAAGUUUGAACCCUUUAUUCCACUGGCCUUCUGUGUGACUUGGCUGUGUCUUUUCACUGAAAGCCAUAGCUCGUCUUAAAAUGGCCCCUUUUAUAGGACUUUCCCUUUUGAAGUUACCUUCCUUUAUCCUUUUGGGCACAAGGGUGAUGAUAGUUGCCCAUGGUGAGAUUAUUAUCAUACCCAGACCUUUGUAAAUAGUCCUUUUAUUAAACUCCUUGACUUCCCAUAUGUUGAGUGUUUGUGCCAGAUGUUUCCUGCUUGGCCUCUAUUAGAAGGGAUCAUGGAGAUCAUUUUCCCCAAUUCCCUCAUUCUAAAGAGGAGUAAACGAAGACUACAAAAGUAGACAUGACUUGUCUAGGGCCACAUCUUAACGCAGUAGUGUUAUUCUUUCUGUUUGAUGUGG
rnacentral:lncRNA from 1 species